rnacentral:rRNA from 1 species
GGAGGAAGGUGUGGAUGACGUCAAGUCCUCAUGGCCCUUACGGGUUGGGCUACACACGUGCUACAAUGGCAGUGACAAUGGGUUAAUCCCAAAAAACUGUCUCAGUUCGGAUUGGGGUCUGCAACUCGACCCCAUGAAGUCGGAAUCGCUAGUAAUCGCGUAACAGCAUGACGCGGUGAAUACGUUCCCGGGCCUUGUACACACCGCCCGU